GCAGUAAGCCGGGGAGGGGUGCGGGCGGGUGAGUUUCGGCUGUGGCUGGUGCUCGCUGAGCUGGGCCGUCUCAGCUGCAGAGCGUGCGGCACGUCGGGACGGGAGUGGGGUGUGCGGACCGAGAGCUCGGUUCUGGAGCCACGCUUGCCUGCUUUCGGACGGCUGGGGAGGAGAAAGCGAACGGUUAUGCAAAGCUCCAUGCACCGAACGCCUUUCCCUCUCCUCUCCUUUGGAGGAAAGUUGGCGUCUGGGACUGGUGAGAGAGGCGGAGGUGACCUCAGGCUUUACUAAAGUGCGAGAAGCCGGCUGAGGGGCGAUUUCGGAAGAAGGCUGGUGAGGGGCGAGGAGGCCAGUUUGCCGAGUCAAAGUCUGACCCCCUGGGCCUGACGCGCCAAACUCGGGGGCUCCGGAGAAGCCGCGGACGCCGCUCUGCACCUGUUGUCGCCGUCACUCAUCCUCGCUGAGCGGGCGGGGCUGCGCGGGCGGCUUGGCCGAGACUCGCUGCCGCAGCCGUGUCCAGGCUCCGGCGCCCGCCCCAGGCCCGCGCCGGCUGAGCACCGCGGGACCUCCGCUCAGCCUCUGGAGCCGGCCGGUGAGGGAGCCACCCGCGCGCCCGAGGGAUUGACUUCAGCUCUACUUCAUGCCAUUUUCAAGAUCCACCCUCUAUCUGAUGAACAAUUAACCUUGUGGCAAAGGAAAAAAGAUCUUGUGGGCUUUGUGAUGCUGAAAAGCAUUAAUAAACUUCAUGCCUUGGAAAAAUUGGAGGAAGAACCCCCACCAUAUGCAGAUGAAUUAGAUUUGGGGUAUGUACCUGGGAUGGGGAGAGGGGGAGGCAUCUAACCCACACAUCUACUUCAGCAUCUCAUGUGUCAGGCAUUGGGAGUAUGUUUGAUUUGAAAAGGUUUAUAUUAUAAAAUCGUACCUGGAAAAAGACCCAAGCUGUUAAAUAAAAUAAAGAAGUGAAACAAGUUUUUAUGGGGGCCUCAUUGGUGCCUUUCCAGCAAUAUUUUUCAUAAAUGCCUUUGUGGCUUCUGUAUCUGUAGGGAACAUAACCAUAACACAAGCCCCAACCCCAGGAUCCAUGUCAAAGUAAGUUAAUACAUAGAAAAUAAAUCAACACUGACUGUCUAUUUUUAAAAGACCUUUGCCCUUAACAUACAGAGUGUUCCCAGAUGAUUGGCUUGGGGCUCCUGAUAGUGUAUUUUAGCCUCAGGGUCCACAUAGGGUGAUUCCUGAGGGGCAGUGUUAAUGGACAAACACUCGGCAUUCUGUUCUCCUGCAGGUAGCAAAGGUUUCUCAACACUUGGAUGAAGCAGCAGCCAUUAGGCAGUAUUGAUUGUAAUUAGAGAUUUCUUAAAUUUAUUGCCUUUCAGUACUUGGAAGAUUUAUUGAAUUGGUGAACCUAGAUCUAUCUGAAAUAAUUUGUAACUUCUCAUUUUUGUAGGACAGUUAUCAUGGAGUGAAGUGUACUUGUACUUAGAAAUAAAAUUGUUUGAUUUUUAUGUUUUAGUUACUAAAUUUCCCAUGUAAUUGCAAAUAUAAUUGAUGACAGAAUACCUGUCAAGAAAAGGAAAAUUUUGAAUUUUUAGACAGUGUAUUAAGUUUUGCUUAUCUUUUAUUGACUUAGCAUAUAUAUUCUCUACUACUGUAAUAUUUAUACUACAAAUUACCCUGCAAAUGCUUUUUCUUGAACUAGCAAAUUGAAAUGAUUAUAGUGUGUAUUAGGGAGUUCUGGGACUGAAUAUAAAGAUAUAUGUGACUCAAUUGAAAUUGCUGUACCUCAUAUUCAAUGCAUUUCUGUUUUGGCUCUUAAUAUAAAAAUAUUCUUUCUGGAAGUUCCCAUCGUGGCUCAGCGGAACCUAAUCCUACUAGUAUCCAUGAGGAUAUGGGUUCAAUCCCUGGCCUUGUUUAGUGGGUCUGGGAUCCAGAAUUGCUGUGAGUUGUGGUGUAGGUCACAGACACAACUUGGAUCCCGAGUUGCUGUGGCUGUGGCAUAGGCCGGCAGCUAUAGCUCUGAUUUGACCCCUAGCCUGGGAACUUCCAUAUGUUGCAGGUGUGGUCCUAAAAAGCAAAAAAAAAAAAAAAAAAAAAA
rnacentral:lncRNA from 1 species